GAUGAGCUCCACGAUGGUGCUCCCUCCAGCUUGACUGGCCUCUCGUGGCUAUGGGCAGCCAUUGAAUGGCACCUGCCAUCAGCAGCCACAUUCUUCAAAAGGGAUGGGAGGUGGAGAGCAGGGAGGAGGCAUAGGAAUCAGGAAAAGUAGUCAUUAAAUGAAACUAGAUGACGUGAAGGCUGAGAAAUCAAGUGAGAGCAGCAAACACUGAGAUGGAAAGGCCCUAAGUCCUUAAUAACCUCGCUGACUGUGCUGGUCUUGGAAACAACUGUUUUCUGGACUCUCAGUCUAGUUAUCCAGUGAAGCCAGGACUCUGUGUUGUUGGAGUCCCAAGGAAAAGCCACUUCUUGCCAUUGUGUAUUCUUUGCCAGUGUUAUCCUUUGGGCUGCAUAAGAAGCUGGUGUGCGGGUGCCACCACCAUGUGAACAUGACCGGGCUAGCCUGCUGGAGAAUGAAAGACAUGUGUCCUGACCACCCUGUCACCUAGCUAAUAGCAAGCUCUUCCCAGAAAAAAGAGCGACCUGAAUGACUUGCAUUGUCUGCAGGCUCAUGAGAGAGCUCAGCUGACACCAGAAUAGUCACUCAACUGAGUUCAGCCUAACUGGUGACCCUCAGAAUAGUGAGCUAAAUAAAUGGUAGUUGUUUUAAGCUGCUAA